UUAAGUGCGAUCGUGCAAAGAUUCCUAGGAGAAAGAUAUAUCAUAUGCAACGCAGAGUUGGUUACAAAUCAACAGGGUUAUGUCGGUCUCCGCAUGCUAUGUUUCCUGCGCACGCAUUUGUACAUUCAAGAUGUUUAUGGGUAAAAUGAAUGUUAUAGGACGCAAAUUUGUUGUUAACAACUGGACAAUAUAGUAACGUAUAUUCUUUUCAUCAGUUUCAUGUAAAUUUGCAAUUUGUGAUUUUGUUUUUUAUUUGGAUAUUUCGGUAUUUACAAAGAACGAUAAAAUGUUUUUUCAUAAAAAUAUAUCAGUGCCUCUCAUUUUGAUAAAUGUUCUUUUAUUUGUACAGAACUUCCAGUAUGUAUUAUAGAGCGAUAUUAAUCUAUAACUUAAAAUCAAGCAUACAAGAAUGAAUCAAGAUUUUCAUUCGUUUGUUCCUCCAUGAUUUAUACAAAUGGAAGACAUUUCAUAGAACGAAUCGUCGGUAAGGAACUAAAACUAUGAAAUCUGUUUUUACUACUGUACGUAUAAUUAAAAAAUUGAUUGUACAUCGUUUGCAGUCGUUAACACAGUGAAGCGUUAGCGUUUACUUUUAGAGAUUUCUUUGCAUUGUAUUAAAAGGAAAAUUUUAAUUCAGACAUCCGCGAGACAGGUAGUAAAUCAUAUUUUACAACUUUCCAUAUAAUAUGAUGUGAAAUUUGUUGAGAAUGUAAUAAAUUCAGCUAUACAGGACACUUAAAAAUAUGCCGAUGAGCAUAAGAUGCAAAUAGAACUCGUAGAAACGAAAUACGAAGAAUUUAUGAAUCAUAAAAUCAUGUUUUUUAAUAGAAUUAUUAGUAUGUUCCUAUCUAUUUUACAAAUAUAUAUUACUCAAAACAAUUAGAGCAUUGCGUUUUUAUAAUAUCUUUAGUCAUAUUUUUAUCGAAUGUCUAAUGUAUAUGCUAUUGAAUUUUUGUUCUAAAAAACAAGUAUCAUUAAAUAGUAAAGUCAUUUCACGAGGUAAUUCCUUAAUUGUUUUGAGUUAUUAUAAGCUACUGAAAAUGGUGAACAUUUAUCCAAAAUAUGUAAUUUUCAAAAUUCACUUCUGUCAACGAUCUCUUCCAAGUUUUCUAGGAUGUCCUCAUGAAGUUAAACUCAUACUGUUAAAUUGGUUUCCAUUUGCGAAAUAUCUGUACUAUUACACACAUCUGUAUUAUUCAUUGAACUGAAAAAUAGGGUAUUUCUAUAUGAUCGAUAGUAUGUAUAGGUAAUAUUUGUGCGCACAUAUAUUUAAGCGAGCGCAUGGGAGAAUCUGUUUUAAAAAAUAUCCCAGAUGUAUGACAAAAAUAACUUUGUCUCACGAAGAAUCUUCUUGUGAACUUAUAUGUAUAUAAAAGUAGUUUCGAUAUUUCAUUGGCAUUGUGAAUAGUUGAGAGGACGAUCUAAGUCCCGAGAUAGUUUUCUUCUUUUCUUUUUUUGAAAUUCGAACUAGUGAAGCGACUUUUUAUGGCGACGCGAUAUAAAAAUUAGAUUUCGAUAGAGAUACUCAUAGAUCAAUUCAAAUGUCAGACCAUCAGAUUAUGUGAUUAACACCAGACAUUAUAAAAAAACAGAAUCGAUUAUGUAGAUGAUGUCUUAUUGUAUAAUUACAAGCUACUAACUCGAGGGCUGACGACAUCCAUAUUAGAGUUCGUAUAUUGAAAAUUUUUGGUCCUUACGUUUUCUCUACUGUACAAUACUCUUAAAUAAAUUACAUUGGAUCUAA